rnacentral:lncRNA from 1 species
AUUGAGAGUUGUUGUGUUGGUUCAUUUUUUUUUUUUUAUGGGAUAAUUGUAUCAAACUUUGUGAUCUUAAUUGAAUGUCAUUGGGCUUAUGAUAUGAAUUAUUUCUUGGAAAAAUUGUGUGUAUCACUUGUGGAUUAUGCAUGAAAAGUUUGAACUUGUGACAAGUGAGUUAAAUGUUUUGCCUCCAAGAACUUGGAAAUGAGCUUGUAAGAUUUGAGCCAUUGAUUGUCAUAUUAUCACAAUCCCAUUUCAUUCUUGAG